rnacentral:rRNA from 1 species
GGUUAAGUCCCGCAACGAGCGCAACCCUUAUCCUUGUUUGCCAGCACUUCGUGUGGGAACUCCAGGGAAACUG